rnacentral:rRNA from 1 species
GAAUCUUCCGCAAUGGGCGAAAGCCUGACGGAGCAAUGCCGCGUGCAGGAUGAAGCGGCUUCGCCGUGUAAACUGCUGUCAGGUCCUCGAAACACUGAUCAGGACCAAAGGAAGGGCCGGCUAAACUCGUGCCAGCAGCCGCGGUAAUACGAGUGGCCCAAGCGUUAUUCGGAAUCACUGGGCUUAAAGCGUGCGCAGGCGGACCUGUAGGCGUCUUGUGAAAUCCCACGGCUCAACCGUGGAAUUGCAGGGCGAACCACAGGUCUUGAGGCAGGUAGGGGGAGACGGAACUGUCGGUGGAGCGGUGAAAUGCGUAGAUAUCGACAGGAACGCCAGUGGUGAAGACGGUCUCCUGGGCCUGUCCUGACGCUCAUGCACGAAAGCGUGGGGAGCAAACAGG